ensembl:lncRNA
AGCCCCUGCUCUGGGCUGGGGACAAUGUGAUCUCUAGGCUCCCUGAUGGGACAGAAGUCCUGUGCCUUGGCACACGGGCAGUGCCCAGGCUUUGACCCCUUCCUUGGGACUCCUGUGGUACGUUCCCAUUUAACUCAAGGCUCCUUGUGAUUGGACCAAGCAGUGUGUUCAUAAGACAGAAGGACCAAAGCUUGUGACAGCAGAGAUGGGCAGUGUCAAGGGGGCCUGAGGAUAGGGAAGGUUUUGUGUGGCCUGCUACCCUGAAAAUGGGGCCAGGUGCCUGAGGGUGUUGCCAGGACAGCACUCCUGACUGGCAGGGUCUGUCCAGACCUGUGGUCCCGCCCAACUUGCCCCAUCCUCUCACACAGGUGUUCCAGAGUGAGGUGGAGAAAAUCAUCCAGUGCUUGGUGUGCGGCCACGAGGAGCGCAUCCCAUCGGGAAGCAGGAUGCUGAUCCUGCCCCUGGCUUCCCACACCCAGCUCUGUGGCUUGGAGGGGGCUGGGCAGAAACCUGGCAAGCCAGCCAAUCCGGACACCGAGAUGCUGAGUUUCUCUCUAAUCCAGAAGUUUGAUGAUGAAGACAAUCGGUUCUUCUGUGAGCCCUGUCAUGCCAAGACUCCCGCCUCGGAGGAGACACGCUUCCUGCGGCUCCCGAAGGUCCUGAUUCUGCAAGUCAGGGAGCUGACGUUUGAAAAUGGGAGGUUUCACAAAAUUCAGAAGCCUAUCAACAUUGCCCAGGUGCUGAAACUGCACACCAGCCCCAGAGAACUGACAUUGCCUAAGUGUAAAGCUUCCCACAGUGGCACAAUCACCCCCAACCCGGAGCAGAGAGUCUACCACCUCUACGCCGUGUGCUGCCACUCGGGAGACUGCAGUGGGGGCCACUACACAGCUCUGGCCCAGCCCCCCGGCCAGGCGGAGUGGUUCCGCUUCAAUGACCAGCAGGUGCACUGUGUGGGGCCGGAAUUCCCUCUGCACCACACGUUCAGGCAGGAGCCAGAGGCACCUGGGCCUGACAAUGGGGAUAUGAGAACCAUGACAGAUGUAGCUGUUCCAAAGGAGAAGGUGCCUUGUCCAGGAGUGGAGGGAGAGACUCUCAAGACAGACUCUGCCACAGUCUGCUGGGGAGGACACAGCCAGAGCCUCUCUCUUCUCCAGGACGACGAGCCCAUCUGCCACAGACAGAGUCCUGCCAAGAAGUGCAGGAGGGACGUGGAGCCUGGCCUUGGGAACAAGGGCAGAGCCUCAGAGCAUGUGGAUGAGGAGGGCCCUAAAGCGCCUCCACCAGGGGAGCAGGGGGAGGCCCGAGGCCUGCCCUGUGGCCCCCAGUGUAGCCCCGAAGAGGAACUCCCUGCCAUGGGAAUGAGGAGCUCGGCAGCUGAAGACCAAGCCCUGUCCCACCCUGCGCAGGGCCUAGCACAGCCCGGAAAGACACGCCUCAGGAGCAAAGAUGGAGGAGCAGGGGCUGCCAGAGAAGGAGUCCGGCUCCUCGGAGACAGAGAAGCGGAAGCCAUGGCCACCAGAGAAAGAGGAGUGGAGAUUGCCAAAGAAGGGGGCCAGCUCCUCAGAGACGGGGGAUUGGAGGCUGUGGCCUCCAGAGAAGGAGGAGGGGAGGCCGUGGCUGCCAGAGAAGGGGGCUGGNNNNNNNNNNGUGGCCACCAGAGAAGGAGGAGCAGAGGCCGUGGCCACCAGAGAAGGAAGAGGGGAGGCUGUGGCCACCAGAGAAGGAGGAGCAGAGGCCAUCGCCACCAGAGAAGGCUGCCCCUCAGAGAUGGAGGAAGGGAGGUGCCAGGCUUCAAGCCCAGAGCAGAGACCUGGAGGCUUGAGAGGUGGGGAGAGCCUGAUGUGGCCACAGGCGAGGCAACAGCAGAAGGGUUGCUGGCCGCCGUCCUUGGGGGGGUGUCCACCUGGCCUCUGCCUCCCUCGGAGCAAGAUCAGCGGUGGGAAAGCCCCAGGGGAGAGACAGCCCUGGCAGUGCCACACCACACCAGGCUCAGCGCCCAGCCAGCGCCCAUGGAGGCUUUGGUCCCUGGAAAGAGAUGAAGAGUGACCGGAUGGCAUUCCCUCCCUGCCUCGGGAGUCCCCAGUCUAGAGUGCCAGGAUGGCAUUCACGCCCUGCCUCGGGAGUCCCCAGUCUAGAGUGCCAGGAUGGCAUUCACGCCCUGCCUCGGGAGUCCCCAGUCUAGAGUGACCGGAUGGCAUUCACGCCCUGCCUCAGGAGUCCCCAGUCUGUCCCAUCCCAGAGCCCUUCCCUGGCCCUUCCAGCCGGAGAGCACGACCCUGAAAGCAGAGGGUGUUUGGGGCUUGGAUUCCAGUUGGAUUCCGAGGGGGAAGCUCUGGGAGGAGCAG